UACGAAGGGGGCUAGCGUUGCUCGGAAUUACUGGGCGUAAAGGGCGCGUAGGCGGUGUGUCAAGUCAGGCGUGAAAGCCCCGGGCUCAACCUGGGAACCGCGCUUGAGACUGGCACGCUAGAGUUCGGGAGAGGAUGGUGGAAUUCCCAGUGUAGAGGUGAAAUUCGUAGAUAUUGGGAAGAACACCGAUGGCGAAGGCAGCCAUCUGGACCGACACUGACGCUGAGGCGCGAAAGCGUGGGGAGCAAACAGG
rnacentral:rRNA from 1 species